AGACAGGUAGCUCAGUUGGCAGAGCGGGCCCGACAGAGGUUCGAUUCCUCUCCUGUCUG
rnacentral:tRNA from 2 species